UAUGACCCAUCCCCCAAUCCCGAUUCAGCCGCCGCCAACCACACGUGGUAUCCUCCUUGAUUUCCCCUCCUGCCCAAUCCUGUGGAGCCUCCUCGCUUGACAGUGCCCGAGGCCACCUCCUCUGCUCGAUCCCAGGGGAAUCACAAGUAGCUCAUCCCCGGCAACCAGAUCGCUGGACGUGUCUAGCUCCCAGCAGACGCAAGCGCUCGCCCCGAACUCCUUGAUUCGCCGAGCACGAGCACCACCUCAUGAACGCCUCUUCGGUCGGCCGCCCUGCAGGAGCUUCAUCUGCGCCACCGUCCGGCCGUCGGACCAGCAUGUCCCCAGCUCAUGUCUUUUUUCCUUCUUGGUUCUCCUUCCUCCUACCCUUCUUCCUCCCCUUCUCUCAUGUCUCUCUUGCUCUAUUGCAUCAGGUUCCAGCCAGGGAGUAUGCCAUGAAUGGCUGGCCUUAAGCUUGUGUGGUGAGUCCCUCAAUCACCGGGAACGAGACCAAUGCCUCAAGAUCCGGCGCCCCAAGGCCUCGAUCCGGUUCGUCCCCGUCGCCUUCGGCCAGGACCUCAUCACCCUCGCCGUCCCCGUGUAGUUCUUGCCGGAUCACGCCUCUGCUUCGCCACUGACCAUCGACCCCGAGCCCCUGGUGAGCGCCCUGCCUACAACCCGCUUUGCUUCAUCGCUUGCACGCGAGACGAGCCAGCCCCCCGUAGCUCAUUUGCAUGCACGCACGCACGCACGCACCAACACACAUUCCCGCACGCCCGCAGCUGCUCUGCAUCGUUGUGAAGGCUUGGCCUUGCCCAGCUUAAGAAGCAGCGUCUAGCCUCUAAACACUCGCUCACAGCAAGCCUAGUUGGCUAGCAAGCCAGUCUUCCUUCCAAGAGAUAGUGGGUUCGAUUCCUAGUGAGCACACAUUUUACUCUAUUUUGGUAUUUUUUUUCCUAGAUUUGUUCCCCAUUUAGGGGAUACUAAGGUCCUGUUUCAUACUACUUUGGUCCUUAAAAUUCAUCUUUCUUCCACAAAAGACAAGCCAAACGAGGUAACUCCACGAUAUGCUGCUCCAUAAAAAAACUAGAAUGUGGGGUACAACUUCAAAGUUUUUAUGAAGCUCAAGAGGGUGCUUCAAAUAACUCUAAAAGUUGGAGUUGGGGGAAAAUUACCCACCACUGCCACCAGUAAGUGGAUACCCCUUCAUUUCUUUCUCCUCAACCAAUCAAAUAGAUUUUUUCCACCAAAAUUUCUAUUCUUGAAGCUGGAGCUACAUAGAAGCCAAACAUUCUCUUGAUAGUGCUAUAGCUUUUGUAUGAAACUACUCUAAAGUGAAUUUGAUGAAGUGAAACUGGUUUUGGUGAAUUGAAGCAGUCCUAAACAGGCCCUAAGAAAUGGAUUUAUGUUAGGACUCGAGCCCCAGUCGGAGAGGCUAGUACCUAGCGUGUCCAUUCAAGAGGUUUGGGAUCGAAACCCAAAGCCACCCCUAUUUUUUUUUUUCUUGUUCUGCUAUAUUUGUUAUUCCCUCUCGUUUUGCACUCAGUCAGUUCCUUGGGCCGAUUUCAGCCUUGGGUCGUUACACUACGUUGCAAUUCAGUCCAUGUAUAUUUCUUUCCACCUACAGUUUGCUAUUUGUUUCUUUAGAAAAACCAUUGAUUUUAAAAUGCUUGUACUGUGGUGAAUAACUUGUGUUGAUUCUUGUUUCCGGUUUGCUUCGUCUCGAUAGAGUUCCGUAAGCAUGUCGGAAUGUGAUGAUCCAUUCGACUACAUCGAUUCGUCUGCUUCACGGAGUCGUUCUUCUUCCAAGCGGGAUCAUAGGCANNNNN
rnacentral:lncRNA from 1 species